CUACGGGGCGCUGCAGUGGGGAAUAUUGGACAAUGGGCGAAAGCCUGAUCCAGCCAUGCCGCGUGUGUGAAGAAGGCCUUCGGGUUGUAAAGCACUUUCAGUGGGGAAGAAAGCCUUGGGGCUAAUACCCUCGAGGAAGGACAUCACCCACAGAAGAAGCACCGGCUAACUCCGUGCCAGCAGCCGCGGUAAUACGGAGGGUGCGAGCGUUAAUCGGAAUUACUGGGCGUAAAGCGCGCGUAGGCGGUCUGAUAAGCCGGUUGUGAAAGCCCCGGGCUCAACCUGGGAACGGCAUCCGGAACUGUCAGGCUAGAGUGCAGGAGAGGAAGGUAGAAUUCCCGGUGUAGCGGUGAAAUGCGUAGAGAUCGGGAGGAAUACCAGUGGCGAAGGCGGCCUUCUGGACUGACACUGACGCUGAGGUGCGAAAGCGUGGGUAGCAAACAGGAUUAGAUACCCCAGUAGUC
rnacentral:rRNA from 1 species